CCAGGCAGCAAAUUCAUUUGCAAACACAAAGGCUCAGAGAAACUUAGCGACCAAUUACACAGCCUCCAAAUAUUCCAAACUCGCUCAGACGCCAGACAGAAGGGGUCAAGGCAGUUCAUCAGAUUCACUCCCUAAUUCUCCACCUCUGAAGCAAGCUCUCCCCAGGGAACAGACAAGAGAAGAUAACACUCAAGAUAAGAACCAAGAGAAAUGAGUUAUCCUCUGAAGAAGUUUUAGGAUCUUACAUGCCUGGUCUGCACUGAAGAUGUGUGCAAAUAAAUGGACCCAAAGCCACCUCCCUCCAUAAAUCUAUCCUCAGCUUGUUGUGCCCAAGAUUGUGAAUCCGAGAAACCACCAAGGAGCCGACACCGAUGCAAGCACACGAGGGUUUAUUAGCAAGCUCGAACUUGGGUCCAAGUGUACCCAACACAGAGGAGCAAGGACUCGGACCCCAAGGGGGGCUUCAGCUGGGUUUUAUGGGCUGGUCUAGGGGACCUCCAGAAGUGGGGGAGGAAUUUCUCAAGCUCUGUUUACAUUCUGAUAUGGGGCUUUCAAGGGCGUUGAGCUCUGUUCUCAUUCUAAUAUG